AGGCCAGGGCGCUCACCAGGGCUAGGUACCUAUUUGGAAAGGGCGGUGGCUUCGUAAGGCAGCGGCGGGCUCCCGCGUGGACCGGCCAAGGGGCCGGGCUGAGGGUCCUCGCCACGCAGACGGCACGUGCACAUACGUACCCGCAGUGUCUCCCCAUGACCUCAAGCACAAAGGUCCUCUGGUGGCUGCAAAAGACACAAGGAAACAUCCACUUACCACCCCUGGGAACAGCAUGAAAAGCACAGAGAGAGGCACUGUGACAGCCAAGUCAGAAGCAAAGCCUGCUUCCUGCCGAUGGCAGUGCCUAAGUUCAGAGAGCGCCCACUUUCUACAAGAUGCUACACCGCAGCCCAGAACGCCCACCAGGGGACCUCCCAGGGUCGGGACUGAGGUCUACACCGCAGCACAGAACGCCCAUCUCGGGACCUCCCGGGGUCAGGACUGAGGUCUACACCGCAGCC